GAUGAACGCUGGCGGCGUGCCUAAUACAUGCAAGUCGAGCGAACAGACGAGGAGCUUGCUCCUUUGACGUUAGCGGCGGACGGGUGAGUAACACGUGGAUAACCUACCUAUAAGACUGGGAUAACUUCGGGAAACCGGAGCUAAUACCGGAUAACAUGUUGAACCGCAUGGUUCAACAGUGAAAGACGGUUUUGCUGUCACUUAUAGAUGGAUCCGCGCCGCAUUAGCUAGUUGGUAAGGUAACGGCUUACCAAGGCAACGAUGCGUAGCCGACCUGAGAGGGUUAUCGGCCACACUGGAACUGAGACACGGUCCAGACUCCUACGGGAGGCAGCAGUAGGGAAGCUUCCGCAAUGGGCGAAAGCCUGACGGAGCAACGCCGCGUGAGUGAAGAAGGUCUUCGGAUCGUAAAACUCUGUUAUUAGGGAAGAACAAAUGUGUAAGUAACUAUGCACGUCUUGACGGUACCUAAUCAGAAAGCCACGGCUAACUACGUG
rnacentral:rRNA from 1 species